rnacentral:lncRNA from 1 species
ACUUUACGACCAAUGGGAACACCAUACAUGUUGAUCUUCACAAACAUGCCUCCUUGUCUCAUUGGCUCCAUUGUCUUAGCAUCAUCAUCACACUUUUGGUUCUUGAGGACAACACCAUUGGAGGUGGUUGAGUCGUUUCCAAGCUUUGAAGAGCUUCCACUUGCUAAGUUCUUCCUGAAGGAUCGAACCGGAGGCCAUCCCACCACUGGACCAGGAGCAGUUCUGUAAAGUCACAGAGUCACCAAUACACAACUUGUUAGAAAAAACAAGAACAGUCUCAAGAUUUUAAAAAAGGAAAAAACAGAGCAAAUACAGUGAAGAAUCUGAGGUAACAAGAGCAGGUAAAAAAGACUGAAACUUUCAGAUGUGAAAAGGGUAAAAAGAUCAGAAAGGUUAAAACUUUCUUAUUUGAGAUCCAAUCUUAAGGAGACAUGAACAAAGUCUUUGCAGAUAGAUGGGACCUUAUUGGCUAAUAACAAGUGAAUAUCUUCAUGACAAAAGAACACAAAACAGAUAAAAACAAACAAAAAAUAGGAAAUUCAAAGAGUUGAAGUUUUAAAAACCUUUUAUGGGAUGUGGUUUUGGUUGAAGAAG